GCCAGUUCUGGAGGGUGGUUGCUUGCAAAGGGCCACAGGACCACUUCCAGGGCCUGCUUGUCCUGCAGAAGGUGGCCUGAAGGGGUGGCCAAGAGAUGCUUCUCAUCAGAGACAGGACGGAAGGAGGAAUGAGUGCACGGAGCUGGUUCCUGUGGGCUUCCUAGUCUACGUGCUAGAUCGUAAAAGAUGUUGCUGUUUCUACCCUGCUCUCUUGGAUCGCUUGCUCUGGAGGGAAGCUGGUCACCAUGUUGUGAGGACACCUAAGCAGGCUGUGGAAAGGACCGCAUGGAGAGCUGAGCCUUCCUGCCAACAACCAGCCCCAACUUUCCAGCCAUGAAAAGAAGCCCCCUUGGAAGCAGGUCUUCCAGCCCCAGGCAAGCCUCCGGAUGACUGUGGCCCUGGCUGAUGUCUUGGUUGCAACUUCAUCAGAGACCACAGCUAGAACCACUUAAAUUCCUGACCUAUAAAAUUUGCGUGACAUGAUAAAUGUUUAUUGUAUUAAGCCUCCGUGUUUUAAGAUAAUCUAUUAUGUAGCAAUACAUAACUAAUACAUAGUCUUUAUGUGUG
rnacentral:lncRNA from 1 species